GAUGAACGCUGGCGGCGUGCCUAAUACAUGCAAGUCGAGCGAACGGACGCGAAGCUUGCUUCUCUGAUGUUAGCGGCGGACGGGUGAGUAACACGUGUAUCACCUACCUAUAAGACUGAUAUCACUUCGGGAAACCGUCGCUAAUACCGGAUAAUAUUUUGCACCGCAUGGUUCAAAAGUGAAAGACGGUCUUGCUGUCUCUUAUAGAUGCAUCUGCGCUGCAUUAGCUAGUUGGUAAGUUAACGGCUUACCACGGGAACGAUGCAUAGCCGACCUCAGAGGGUGAUAGGCCACACUGGAACGGGGACACGGUCCAGACUCCUGCGGGAGGCAGCAGUAGGGAAUCGUCCGCAAUGGGCGAAAGCCUGACGGAGCAACGCCGCGUGAGUGAUGAAGGUCUUCGGAGCGUAAAACUCUGUUAUUAGGGAAGAACAUAUGUGUAAGUAAAUGUGCACAUAUUGACGGUACCUAAUCAGAAAGCCACGGCUAACUACGUG
rnacentral:rRNA from 1 species